rnacentral:rRNA from 1 species
UACGAAGGGGGCUAGCGUUGCUCGGAAUUAUUGGGCGUAAAGCGCACGUAGGCGGCUCUUUAAGUCGGAGGUGAAAUCCUGGAGCUCAACUCCAGAACUGCCUUCGAUACUGUAGAGCUUGAGUUCGGGAGAGGUGAGUGGAACUGCGAGUGUAGAGGUGAAAUUCGUAGAUAUUCGCAAGAACACCAGUGGCGAAGGCGGCUCACUGGCCCGAUACUGACGCUGAGGUGCGAAGGCGUGGGGAGCGAACGGG